UUUACUAAGCGACAAGUCGAUACCUGACCGCGUGUUUUCACUUGCUGACCUUGUGUAAACAGCUCGGCAAGUUANUAACUUGCCGAGCUGUUUACACAAGGUCAGCAAGUGAAAACACGCGGUCAGGUAUCGACUUGUCGC
rnacentral:pre_miRNA from 1 species